UUAGGCUUUGAAAUAGACUACACUGCAUUCUAUACAGACAGUAAAGUAGUUCUAGGUUAUAUCCACAACGAGACAAGAAGAUUUUAUGUCUACGUGGCUAACCGUGUUACGAGAAUCCGCAAAUCUUCUCAACCAAGCCAAUGGCAUUACGUACCGAGCAGCCAGAACCCAGCAGAUCACGCCACACGUUCUGUUCCUGCUUACCAGCUACCUCUUAGUAACUGGCUCACUGGCCCUGACUUCAUGCUCCAAGAUCAAAGUCCCUCAAAUGACUCUUUUGAACUUGUUGAACCUUGCACAGACUCUGAUGUCAGACCACAGGUGUCUACACUCAAAACCACAAUCUCAACCAAACAACUUGGCUCUGACAGAUUCAACAAGUUUUCGACAUGGAAGUCUCUCAAGCGUGCUGUUUCGAGACUACUACACGUCAUACAUAACUUCAAAUCACUGCCAAGCAAAAUCAAUCACUGCCGUGGUUGGCACUACUGUGAGACAGGACUCACUGUAGACGAGUCAAACCAAACCCAAAAGGUAACCCCUCUUAAGGCUCCAGUUGGCAACUUUACAGCGUCAGACCUCUACAAACAUCAGUGGCGCCAAGUCCAGCACCUGUCAAACACCUUCUGGGACAGGUGGAAGAAGGAGUUCCUUCCCACUCUCCAACCACGUCGCAAGUGGCAUUCCAGUCAACUUAACGUGAGCGUAGGUACGGUCGUUAUACUCAAAGACAGCCAAAUUCCCCGAAAUGAAUGGCCUCUUGCACGUGUAACUCAGGUGUUCCCAAGUAAAGAUGGCAAAGUCCGUUCAGUAGAGCUAAGGGUAGUCAGGUCAGAUGAUACAAAGGUAUUGACCAGACCCAUCUCAGAAAUUGUACCUUUGAUUAUUUAAUGAGAGGUAUUUGUUUGUUUUUUCCAGUUAUUUUUGUGGCGUUUAUCCACGCCAAGCGGGGAGUGUUCUGUUACAACUAAAAGUUGUAAACUCUUGUUGUUGAAAUGUGUUGUGCUUAAAUAAGCUUGUUAUGUAAUUAAUAUUAUUACAUGUGUAUUUGUCGCCAUCAUGUGGUCAUGGCAGUUAAUACAUCUUUGAGAAGUGUGUAUUUUGAAUCAAACUUUAUUGACCGGAAGUUACAUAAGCCAAGCAGAGAAAUCUCCGGUUCCAGCACGUACUUUAUGGUGGUUAUUUUCGAAGAAAAACUGCAUAUAUCCUUUGUUUAAGGUUGCAUCGCCGUUUCACCCUUUUGAAUGUCAUUAAACCUGCUGACAACGCUCA